UGGGGAAUUUUGGACAAUGGGCGAAAGCCUGAUCCAGCAAUGCCGCGUGUGUGAAGAAGGCCUUCGGGUUGUAAAGCACUUUUGUCCGGAAAGAAAUCCUUGGCUCUAAUACAGUCGGGGGAUGACGGUACCGGAAGAAUAAGCACCGGCUAACUACGUGCCAGCAGCCGCGGUAAUACGUAGGGUGCAAGCGUUAAUCGGAAUUACUGGGCGUAAAGCGUGCGCAGGCGGUUUGCUAAGACCGAUGUGAAAUCCCGGGCUCAACCUGGGAACUGCAUUGGUGACUGGCAGGCUAGAGUAUGGCAGAGGGGGGUAGAAUUCCACGUGUAGCAGUGAAAUGCGUAGAGAUGUGGAGGAAUACCGAUGGCGAAGGCAGCCCCCUGGGCCAAAUACUGACGCUCAUGACGAAAGCGUGGGGAGCAAACAGGAUUAGAUACCCUGGUAGUCCACGCCCCUAAAACGAUGUCAACUAGUUGUUGGGGGAUUCAAUUUCCUUAGUAACGUA
rnacentral:rRNA from 1 species